GUCGGUAAAACUCGUGCCAGCCACCGCGGUUAUACGAGAGGCUCAAGUUGACAGACAUCGGCGUAAAGAGUGGUUAGGAAGUUUUUGAAACUAAAGCCGAACGCCCUCAGAACUGUUAUACGUACCCGAGGGUAAGAAGCCCCACUACGAAAGUGGCUUUAUAUCUCCGACCCCACGAAAGCUGCGAAACAAACUGGGAUUAGAUACCCCACUAUG
rnacentral:rRNA from 1 species